GGUGGUGGCUCAGUGGCAGAGUGCUGACCUAGCAUGCGUGAGGUACUGGUUUCGAUUCUUAGCACCA
rnacentral:tRNA from 1 species